GCCUGGGUGGCUCAGUCGGUUAAGCGUCCGACUUCAGCUCGGGUCACGAUCUCGCGGUCCGUGAGUUCGAGCCCCGCAUCAGGCU
rfam:Felis catus isolate Cinnamon breed Abyssinian chromosome D3, whole genome shotgun sequence.